GGAUGUUGGCCUUGGGAUCUACUGGGCUCAGUGAGGGGGUCCCUUCGCCAUGUCACAUCAUAGAGGAGCUUUGCAAGAAGACUACAGUUGUGAACCCGGAGUCAAGAGUACCUAGUGAGCCUGAGGAAGGAGAACAUUUCUUGUUCAGAGGAGGGAACAGUCACAGAGGAGAUAAGAGAUAAGGCAUCCACAGUCCAAGGAAUGGUGUGGCCCUGUGAGGUGAGAAAGCGAAACUGAGGACAUAGGGCAGUUUCCAAUUGUGGUUUUAUUAACCAAGACGUAUGCUGGAGUGUCAUGUCUAAGAGAGAUAUGCCAGGGUUCUGGAUGUCACCGGAAGACUUGAAGCCAAUGUGAGCACCUUGGAGAAAGAGCCUGGUACCUUGCUUGGUCAGUGGUUUAUGACAGUCUUUCCAGGUUACAAGCCCUACUCGUACUCAGGGAAUAUCACCUCUAGACACCAUUGCCACCUCCUUCCGUGCCCAGGUCUCAUCAUCCCUCUGACAGAGAGCAAGGAUCUCUUGGGUCUAAAAGAAAUCUUCAACCCUCCUCAGCUUGAAGCAGCUAAAGAAGUGACUCUGUGUCUCUUUCCCUGAAAGAAUUCAGAGCCAAGGUCCUUGAGGGGUGUGGUGGGCAGUUAGACAGACACGAGCAGAGCGAGGACGAUGGGCCAACUGGAGGAGAAGUGGACUGGACCCUGAAACAUGCUUCUCACCACGCCAACUGCUCUGAAGCUGGCCACAGAGGAACCUGUGCAGAAUGGACCUUUACAUUUUGCUGAGUAGGAGUUGGGACACCUAUUGCUAAUACAUAGAAUUAUUCCAUUCAUUUGGGGAAGUCACAUACUGGGACCUUUAUACAUGGGACCCACUGUUUGGGAAAAGGAUGCAGGGAUGCUUUCUCUAAAGGUUACUGCAGUAGCUACCUGUGGUGAAUGUCUGACUUGUAC